rnacentral:rRNA from 1 species
CAGGCCUAACACAUGCAAGUCGAGGGGUAACAGAGGGUGCUUGCACCCUGCUGACGACCGGCGCACGGGUGCGUAACGCGUAUGCAACCUACCUUCUACAGGGGGAUAGCCCAGAGAAAUUUGGAAUAAUACCCCAUACGAUCUUUACUUGGCAUCGAGAAAAGAAGAAAACUUUUUGUGGUAGAAGAUGGGCAUGCGUCCUAUUAGUUAGUUGGUGAGGUAACGGCUCACCAAGACUCCGAUAGGUAGGGGCCCUGAGAGGGGGAUCCCCCACACUGGUACUGAGACACGGACCAGACUCCUACGGGAGGCAGCAGUGAGGAAUAUUGGACAAUGGGGGCAACCCUGAUCCAGCCAUGCCGCGUGCAGGAAGACUGCCCUAUGGGUUGUAAACUGCUUUUAUACAGGAAGAAACUGCGCUACGUGUAGCGUACUGACGGUACUGUAAGAAUAAGGAUCGGCUAACUCCGUGCCAGCAGCCGCGGUAAUACGGAGGAUCCAAGCGUUAUCCGGAAUCAUUGGGUUUAAAGGGUCCGUAGGUGGUCUAUUAAGUCAGAGGUGAAAGCCUAUCGCUCAACGAUAGAACUGCCUUUGAUACUGAUGGACUUGAGUUAUUGUGAAGUAGUUAGAAUAUGUAGUGUAGCGGUGA